AUGGUCUGCAUGAUGACCGAAGGCAUCGUGAAUAGGUUUUUGAGGUCCGCGAAGGCCGAGAUGCUUGAAAAGAACGAGACGGAGAUAAGAUGUCCGUGUCGAAGAUGCAAGCUGAAGAGCCUUAUUGCGGACCCGGAAUCCUGGCAGGUGCGGGACCACCUGCUCUUGCGUGGUUUCAUGGAUGGCUAUCGGUGGCAAGGUGAUGAAGAUGACUACGAAGUCGUCCAUGGGGGCCGGGCAAGAAAUGAGGAAGGGCAGCAAGACAACCACCGCGGCUCGGGUGGGCGAGAAGACGAAGAAUCCCCAGGAGAUGAUCACGACGGUGAUGCUGUACACAGUCAUCGUGUAGAAGAUGCAGGACAUGAUGAUGAGGAAGAUGCCGGAGCAGACGACGGGCAUGAUCAUGAAGAUGAUGAUGCCGGCAGAGCAGACGACGCUGGACCAUCGAUGGGCUGGGUGCAGGACCCUCAUAUUCAAGAGCUGCUUCUCAAGCAGACGGAUAACGCAAGAGCUGCCGCCCGAGAGAAAGCCAAGAUGGAUCAACUUGAGUUAGACGCGGUUACUCCAUUGUAUGAAGGAUGCAGGCCCGAGGAUACCUGCCUGAAAGUAACGCUCAUGGCUCUGGAGAUGAAGGUAAAACACAAAAUG
rnacentral:rRNA from 1 species